UACGUAGGCAGCGAGCGUUGUUCGGAUUUACUGGGCGUAAAGAGUAUGUAGGCGGUUGCGUAAGUUUGGUGUGAAAUCUCCCGGCUUAACUGGGAGGGUGCGCCGAAAACUGCGUGGCUAGAGUGUGGGAGAGGAAAGCGGAAUUCCUGGUGUAGCGGUGAAAUGCGUAGAUAUCAGGAGGAACACCGGCGGUGUAGACGGCUUUCUGGACCAUUACUGACGCUGAGAUACGAAAGCGUGGGUAGCAAACAGG
rnacentral:rRNA from 1 species